UUAAUUAAAUUCUGAUGAUUAUUUGCAGCCAAAAGAAGAAAUACAUAUAUACUAGAUGCAAAGAUAUAAAAAAGCAAAAGCAUAAAUAGUUUUGCAUUUUAUAUGGUGCCCUUCAAGCUGAAGGCUAAAAACAAUUUAUUUAAGCAAUUCUGUCAGUCUCAUGUGAUGGAUGGCUACACUGUUUUCCUUUUAUAGUUUCCCCAGCUAAACAAGAAGCAUAUUCACCCAGGAUUUGUUGGGUAGUUUCAUCAGUGAGAGCCUGAACACCUGAACGUCGUGGCUAUCCUCGCCUGGGGUUGUUCGACUUCUCCAGCACAAUCUCCCUCCAGAUCACCCCUAUUGUCACAAACAGUACAAUUUCCUCCAUUUUUGUGGCUGAAUACUAUUCCAUCUUGUGUAUACAGAUUCCCGUUCAUGCAGUGAUUGAUAGAAGAGGGUGGCCGUGUGUGUCUUGGACAGCAAAAAAACUGUAAAAAAUACAGAAGC